GGAAGAUAUGGUCAAGGUCACGUCAGCCUGUGGUGAUCAAAGUGUGCUUUCAGAACUUAGGUGAGAGGGAGAUGCUUCAGGACCUGUGGGGACCAAACCAGAGAUGAUCUGCUAAUCUGAGCUGCACCCAAAGCAGACACAUCUGUGGGGACAUUCUGUGUUGUUCUGAUUGUGGACUGGCACAGUGUUCCUUAGCUUCCAUUAGGUCCCGUUAUCCACAAACUAUAUCGCCAUUACACUUUUGUUUGAAACACUGAUGAAUCUAAUUCAAACUGACUUACAUGAUAGGAAUUUAUUUGCUUUCAUUGUUAUAAAGUCAGAUGUGAAGUAAGGCCCUGGCAUGCUUGUAUCAAGCCUUCAGUUUGUUUUCUGUAAAAAUAUCCUUGGUCCCAUCUCCAUUUACCUGCUUCUCUUUCAUCCUGGCUUGCAGAACAACUGCUCUAGUAGUUAAGUCCAAGAAAACCUACAUUCACCUCAGUCCUUAAUACUCAUUAUUAUUAAACUAUCCCAGAAGCUUCUCUUGGGCAGAAUGAAUCACUAUAGUACCUGAAUCCUAUACAACAUUUGGUUCAGACAGUAUUAUGGAAAAUGGGUCCUGGUACCUUUAAUCCUGGAGUUCUACGUGAGUGUUUCCAAGAACAUCAAAGUCUACUUGUUUGAUCUCCACGCCUACCAUCUUCAUAUAAAUUUUGCUGGACUCAUCAAGGACACAAGGGAUUAGAAAGCUACAUUUAUACAAUUCAAAGGCCUCAUAUUGCAGAGAAAGUAGAAAGGAUUUGGGACCGAGGAUUACUCAACUUGGAGACUAAACACCUCAGGGAUCCUCAAUAAGCCUAUUGCUAUAAGCAAGCCAAAAACCUUAGCAUUCUUUGACAAAACACUGUUAAGACUAUCUUAAGAAACAAAGAGGAGGGAGGGCUAUCCGCAACAGCUAGAGAGUUA
rnacentral:lncRNA from 1 species